GAAACCGGCGAACGGGUGCGUAACACGUGAGGAACCUGCCCCGAAGACCGGGAUAGCCCGAGGAAACUCGGAUUAAUACCGGAUACCCUCUUUGGACCACAUGGUCUGUUGAGGAAAUGGUCCGCCGCUUCGGGAUGGCCUCGCGGCCUAUCAGCUUGUUGGUGAGGUAAUGGCUCACCAAGGCCGAGACGGGUAGCUGGUCUGAGAGGACGAUCAGCCACACUGGGACUGAGACACGGCCCAGACUCCUACGGGGGGCAGCAGCAGGGAAUAUUGCACAAUGGGCGAAAGCCUGAUGCAGCGACACCGCGUGCGGGAUGAAGGCCUUCGGGUUGUAAACCGCUUUCAGGAGGGACGAAAAUGACGGUACCUCCAGAAGAAGGCCCGGCCAACUACGUGCCAGCAGCCGCGGUAAUACGUAGGGGUCAAACGUUGUCCGGAUUUAUUGGGCGUAAAGGGCUCGUAGGCGGUUCAACAAGUCGGUCGUGAAAACCCGGGGCUCAACCCCGGGACGCCGGUCGAAACUGUUGUGACUAGGGUCCGGUAGAGGUGAGUGGAAUUCUCGGUGUAGCGGUGGAAUGCGCAGAUAUCGAGAGGAACACCAGUAGCGAAGGCGGCUCACUGGGCCGGUACCGACGCUGAGGA
rnacentral:rRNA from 1 species